CAAACGUAUAAUAUGGUAGAGGACAUCCAUUCAACCAUUCCAAGUUUGUAGUAGUAAGUUCUACUGCUAGGACUUCUCGUUUGGAUGUGAAUGCCUCUCAGAUAAUGAAAAUUAUCAAUAUGACAACCCUCUGGUUCUUCAAAUGUCUG